CAACAAACCACUCUAGUAUCGGCCAAGAAAACUGCCUAGUGGUGCGCGUGGGAUCAUCAGAAGCCACCCUAAACCUAACCUGCACCUAACAACAUAUUCCGCUAUUAUUCUGAAGCGUCCCCCGGGGACUCUGAGACUGGAGAACCUGAAAGCUGGCUUCGAAGAGCUGUGGUAUUUGGAGACAGCGCAGAGACUGCCCCAGAACAGCUUUCCAUGUGCGGAGUGGCUGGAACCACUGCAGCCUGACCCGGGCUGGUUCUGCUGGAUGGAAGCAGAAAGAUCAGUCGAAGGAAUUGUGGGAAACCAGCAUUCCUACAAAAGGGGGCCACGCGCGUCUGUCAGCAGAGAUAGAAUGGUCGGAGAGCAACCUGUAUGACAUUGCUUGGGCACAAUAGAAUAACAGAGUUGUCAUGGUGAUGGCAAAUCAGAGCAGCAUGAGUGACAGAGGGUUCUGGGAGAUGGCAGUGAGCCUACUGCUGACCCUUUCUGCUGGUCAUGACCCAUUUGUGGCCACGCCUAGACUUUGGAAGACCUUAUUAAUGGAGUCCCGCCUGGCACACCUCGCUGAUGACAGUUUGUCUUCAUCUAAAGACUUUGUUCUGACAAGUCCCUUUAGCUUGUCAGGCACAGAAGGUAAAUUACGAUGCCAGCACUGAUUGCUUUUGAUUGCUUAUUUGCUGCGUCUGUUCCUGCUGGUUUUAAGUGGUGCGUUGAAGGACUCUGUUUUGCCUGCAAUCUCGGUCGCUCUUUGCAGAGGCAAAAGUGAGUUAUGAAUGUUAUCUCUGGCAGG
rnacentral:lncRNA from 1 species